rnacentral:lncRNA from 1 species
GCACCCCAUCGUGAGCACCAUGCUCCUCCCAGUAAAGGACUUGGGACACUGUUGACCCACUGCGAUCCCAUCCCCACCUACUUGCUCUUGGUGCUGUUGACUGUGAGCCAGCAGGGCAGCAGAAGGUGAUCAUAUGGACUUGAUGCAAUGAGCUGGUAUAAAGUACAGAGAGAAGCAGAAAGGAACUGUGAGGGCACAAGAGGAGCAGGGUUACUCCACUGUCGGGGGCAAAGCCAGGAGCCAGGAAUGACUCCAGCAUGGGACAGGGCCCUCUGAGCUGGACUAGGGCAGCAACGUCCCUCAGUGGCCCCUGACACAGACGUGGAAGUGCAAGUCAGAGAGACCAGAAAUGCUACGAUUUGCACGUACUAGUCUCCCUUGAAGCUGAAAACAAAAAUGCAGAGUAGAAGUAGGUUUGUGGUUUCGACAUACAUAAAAAGGAAUGAAAUCCUUCUGGGGAAUGAAGGUAGCAAUAAUUUAUGACUGAAAAGAAGGGUCAAGAAUUCCAUGUGGAAAAUAAGAGGGGAACAAAACUAAACAAAGGUGCAGCCCUGGACAUUAGGGGAACACCUUCAGCCAUGCCCCGGUUUCUCCAGAAGGUGGACAAGGAGUCGAUCACAGGCGCUCCUCAGACCUUUGCCUCCCUGGACUGCAUCGUGGUCUCUGCUGGAAGCAUCAGGAAGAAGCCUACUGCCUCGGUAUCGAUUAAUUGCCAAAAUAUACCUGAAAAGAGAAUUGAAGGGAAAGUAGACUCCUGAGGCUUCAUCGGGUACAGUGUUUUAAGCCUUAGUGUGGGACUUAAAGGGAAAUUUGAAACUGCUGAAGAAUGGUGAGUCUUUGAACUUCCUCUGACCUCCUCCAGUUGAUUCACUUUUGAAGAAGGUAAUUUCAAGAGUGACAGUGGAUUUCUGAUGAUCCGUAGCUCAUCUACAAAAAGUGCUCAUCUGAGUUGACUGAGAGGGAAGGGAAUAGGUUGUCCUAUGUUUUCAAAAAAAAAAAAAAAAAAAAGAAUCAGUUUGGGAUCAUUUUUAGCCAGUUCCUAGCCAUGUAAGUGUGACAAUAACUGUGUUUCAUUAAAAAAUUUUCCAUUGUUGUCCUGUAUUGUCCACAUUUUUGUGGUGAACCUGAAGUUGACAGUAUUUGAUUCAUCAUAAUUACUGGAAAUGCUUCAUCCGUUCAGAAACCUUCACGGUACCCUCAGGGACUGCUAAGCUUGUAAUAUAAGCUGUUCUUCUCUUUUAUCUCUGAUUUUUCUCUCACAUUAUUUCCUCUUUUCUUUGCUCUAGAUAUCUAGUUUUUGUCGCUAUCGUGUUGAUUUUUUCUCUUGAAAAGGUAGCAGCAAAGCAACAGUGUUUCAAAUCUUUUGUCUGAAUUGCUAGGGUGCAAUUCUUGCAUAGAACUAAACAGUUUUGUGAUAAAAUUAUGUUACAGGUUUGUCACUGAACAAGCUUAAUCAAUCGAUAGUUCCUAUUUGAUUGAGUAAAUAAAUGAUGUUGUGGUAUGUGACA